rnacentral:rRNA from 1 species
UACGAAGGGGGCUAGCGUUGUUCGGAAUUACUGGGCGUAAAGCGCACGUAGGCGGAUAUUUAAGUCAGGGGUGAAAUCCCAGAGCUCAACUCUGGAACUGCCUUUGAUACUGGGUAUCUUGAGUAUGGAAGAGGUAAGUGGAAUUCCGAGUGUAGAGGUGAAAUUCGUAGAUAUCGUAAGGAAGACCAGUGGCGAAGGCGGGUCUCUGGACAGUUCCUGACGCUGAGGAGCGAAAGCGUGGGGAGCGAACAGG